GAGACCUGAAGCGCGCUGGGAAAGUCUUAGUUUAAAGGAAUGGGGGGUGAGGGGAAACCAAGGCAGGACCCCUGCAGGCUGAGAGAUGCCGGGAGUGCACUCAUGCAGACACGGUGGGAGGCGUGCGCUUCAGAGGAGCGAAGGAGUUGUAGGAAGGAAGAACAGUGUCCUCGGUCUCUAGUCUGUACCUUCAGAUUAUCCCUGAUCACCCUAGGAACUGAACACGCUGUUCUGAGAAGGAGGACUGCUGGGAAGAGAUGGGGUCCACCUGACCAAGAAGAGGAAGAACAUAAAUUGUGCAUCAACCUGCCAACCUGAUGUGGACCUCACAGUGACGGUGCAUGGCUUUGUAUCUUCAAGGAUGGUGUCAAGGUUCCUUCCCCACUCUGAACUCUGGGGUACAGAUGUGGGGACUGGCAUGCAAGACCCCCUCAGCUUAUUUUUACCAGCUUAGGUUAAAAACUUUCCCAA